AUGCACGCCAUCUCCGAGCUAACCGGCGGCACAUACUCCUUCAUCGAGAACCAGGCCGUGGUGCAAGACGCGUUCGCCCAGUGCAUCGGUGGGCUCCUUUCGGUCGCCGCCCAGCAGGCAUGGAUAGCCAUUACGUGCGUCCACCCCGAGGUGCGCGUCCGAGCCGUCAAGUCCGGUCGCUACAAAAGCCGCGUCCUCGCGGACGGCCGUGCAGCCUCGGUGGACGUUGGCGAGCUCUAUGCCGAUGAGGAGAGACGCUUCCUGCUGCUCGUGGAUGUGCCGAGGAUCGUCGGCGCUGCUCCAGAUGGA
rnacentral:rRNA from 1 species